UGUAUUCCUUAUCUGUUAUCUAUUUUAUAUGGUUAUGUGGAGCCUAUCUUCCUGCUAUUUUCCCAAUACGCCAUAAAACAGCGGGAAGAUAGGCCCUGAUGUAGUUGCCGCUUUAACUCUUACU
rnacentral:sRNA from 1 species